AAACUCAAAGGAAUUGACGGGUCCCCGCACAAGCAGCGGAGCGUGUGGUUUAAUUCGAUGCUACACGAAGAACCUUACCUGGGUUUGACAUAGAGGUAGUAGGGAAGCGAAAGCGGACCGACCCUUCGGGGAGCCUCUACAGGUGUUGCAUGGCUGUCGUCAGCUCGUGUCGUGAGAUGUUCGGUUAAGUCCGCUAACGAGCGCAACCCUCGCUGUGUGUUACAAGUGUCACACGGUACUGCCGAUAUUAAGUCGGAGGAAGGUGGGGAUGACGUCAAGUCAGCAUGACCUUUAUAUCCAGGGCUACACACACGCUACAAUGGCCAGUACAAUGGGUUGCCAAGCCGCGAGGCGGAGCCAAUCCUAAAAAGCUGGCCUCAGUUCAGAUUGCAGUCUGCAACUCGACUGCAUGAAGUUGGAGUUGCUAGUAACCGCAGGUCAGCAAUACUGCGGUGAAUACGUUCCCGGGGAUU
rnacentral:rRNA from 1 species